CCUACGGGAUGGCAGCAGUGGGGAAGAUUGCGCAAUGGGAGAAAGCAUGACGCAGCGAUGCAGAGUGAGGGAUGAAGGUCUGCGGAUCGUAAACCUCUGUCAGCAGGGAAGAACGGUCACUGUGCUAAUCAGCAGUGAAUUGACGGUACCUGCAAAGGAAGCACCGGCUAACCCCGUGCCAGCAGCCGCGGGAAUACGGAGGGUGCGAGCGUUAAUCGGAAUUACUGGGCGUAAAGCGCUCGUAGGCGGUAUGUCAAGUCAAGGGUGAAAUCCCCGCGCUCAACGUGGGAACUGCCUUUGAAACUGGCAAACUGGAGUGUGUGAGAGGUUAGUGGAAUUCCAGGUGU
rnacentral:rRNA from 1 species